rnacentral:tRNA from 1 species
GGCGGAGUAGCUCAGUUGGUGAGAGCGCACGACUCAUAAUCGUGAGGUCGCGGGUUCGAGUCCCGCCUCCGCUACCA